rnacentral:rRNA from 1 species
UACGUAGGUGGCAAGCGUUGUCCGGAUUUACUGGGCGUAAAGGGAGCGUAGGCGGAUACUUAAGUGGGAUGUGAAAUACCUGGGCUUAACUUGGGUGCUGCAUUCCAAACUGGGUGUCUAGAGUGUUGGAGAGGAAAGUGGAAUUCCUAGUGUAGCGGUGAAAUGCGUAGAGAUUAGGAAGAACACCAGUGGCGAAGGCGACUUUCUGGACAAUAACCGACGCUGAGGCUCGAAAGCGUGGGGAGCAAACAGGAUUAGAUACCCUGGUAGUCCACGCCGUAAGCGAUGGGUACUAGGUGUAGGAGGUAUCGACUCCUCCUGUGCCGCCGUUAACACAAUAAGUACCCCGCCUGGGGAGUACGGUCGCAAGAUUGAA